UACGGAGGGUGCGAGCGUUGUCCGGAAUCACUGGGCGUAAAGGGCGCGUAGGUGGCGCGGGCAGUCAACGGUGAAAGUUCGGGGCUCAACCCUGAAUCGGCCGUCGAUACUCCCGGGCUUGAGCACUGUAGAGGCAGAUGGAAUUCCGGGUGUAGCGGUGGAAUGCGUAGAGAUCCGGAAGAACACCGGUGGCGAAGGCGGUCUGCUGGGCAGUAGCUGACACUGAGGCGCGACAGCGCGGGGAGCAAACAGG
rnacentral:rRNA from 1 species